rnacentral:rRNA from 1 species
CACGCCGUAAACGAUGGAUACUAGGUGUAGGAGGUAUCGACCCCUUCUGUGCCGGAGUUAACACAUUAAGUAUCCCACCUGGGGAGUACGGCCGCAAGGUUGAAACUCAAAGGAAUUGACGGGGGCCCGCACAAGCAGUGGAGUAUGUGGUUUAAUUCGAAGCAACGCGAAGAACCUUACCAGGGCUUGACAUCCCUUGACAGAUGCAGAGAUGCAUUUUCCCUUCGGGGCAAGGAGACAGGUGG